GACCUUGUGGUUGUGAGCCAGAUGCAGUGCCACUGAGUUAAAUCCCCAGCCCAAGAUGUUUUUUUCUUUUUCUUUUUUUUUUUUGGUACCGGGGAUCGAACUCAGGACCUUGUGCUUGUGAGGGAGGCGCUGGAACCACUGAGCUAAAUCCCCAGCCCAGGGUUUUUCUAUUUCUGCAAAAGUCAUUGCAAGUUAGAGAGGGAUUGCACUGAAUUUGUUGAUCACUUGGGCAGUCUUGACUUCUGAACAUGCAUUGCCAUUUAUUUAUGUCUUCUUUACUCUCAGCAGUGUUUUAUGAUUCUCAUUGGACAAAUUAGUUACUGCCUAAGUAUUUUAUUCUUUUUGAUGCUAUUAUACUUGGAAUUAGUUUUUGCAGUUUCCUUUUCACAUUGUUUAUUGUUAGUGUUUACAAAUGUAACUGAUAUAUGUGUGUGGCCUUUGUUUCUUGCUACUUUGCUGAAUCCAUUUAUUAGCUUUGACAGUUUAUUUUUGGAUUCUUUCAGUACCAGAAAUUAAACUCCAGGCCCCUUUGCACUGAGCUAUAUCCCCAGCCACCCCCUCCCCCCACUCUUUUUUGAGACAAGGUCUUGAGUUGUCCUGGCUGGGCUCAAACUUGCAGCCCUCCUGUCUCAGCCUCUCAGAGUUCUGGUAUUACAGCUGUGCACUUCAUGGCCAUCUGUUUGUGACCUCUUUACGAUCUUCUAUGUACAAGAUCAUAUCAUCUGUGAGCAGAGAUAAUUUUUAGUUCUUUCUUUCCAAUGUGAAUGCUUUUUAUUUUUUUCUUGCCUAACUGCUGUGGCUAAAGUCUCCAGCACUGUGUUGAACAGGAGGGGCAGGAGUGGCCCUUGCCCCCUUCCUGACCUUAGAGGAAUAGUAUCAGUCUCCACAUUCACUGAGCGAACCCACUGCUCAGGAUUCUCCAUAGAUGGUUUGCACUCUGUUGAGAUGAUUUACUCCUCUUCCGCCUUUGUUGAGUGCUGCUACCAUGAAAGGGUGUUGAAUUUUGUCAAAUCAUUUUUCUGCAUCAGUUGCCACGAUCAUGUGAUUUUUAUUAUUCACUCUGCUAAAGUGAGGUUAUGGUUUGGAUCUAAAAUGGCCCACACAGCCUCAUGUGUUUGGAAGGUGAUUGGACCAUAGCGGCACUAGCUUGGUUUAGGGAAGUAGGGUCUGGUGGCAAGAGGCGGUCCCUGGCUUUAUCUCCCUCCUUGGGUCCUGCUUUGACUCUGUGCUUCCUGUCUGCCAUGAGGUGAGCAGCUCUUCCUCUGCUGUGCCCCUCUCCCAAGCUGUUUCUCCCUUGGACUAGAAACAUGAGCCAAAAUAAUCCUCUCCUCCUUGAAGUUGCCAGUGCUGGGUACUGUGUCUGUGACGAGAAAGUAGCUGAGACAAGAGGUGUAUUACACCAAUGGACUGUCGUGUGGAACCACCCUGGUCAAGGUGAUAGUCCUUUAAUGUGCAGGUGGAUUCAGUAUGUAUUUCGCUGAGGACAUUCACAUAUGAGUUCAUGAGGGUUUGGUCUGUAGAUUUUUCCUCUUGUGGUGUCUUUGCUGCCUUUGGUAUCCAGCUGAGCAUAGCCUCAGAAUGACACAGGAAGUAUUUCCUCCUCUUCUGUUUUCUGAGAGCAUUGUUUUCUAAGCAUUUGGUAGAAUUCAGCACUCAAGCCAGCAGGUCUGGGGCUUUCUUUGUCAGGAGAUUUUUGAUUGCAAAGUCAAUCUCUUUGUUUUUGGUACCGGGGAUCGAACUCGGGUCCUUGCGCUUGCACAGCAGGUGGCAAAACCACUGAGCUAAAUCCCCAGCCUACUAAGUCAAUCUCUUUAUUAGCUGUAGGUCUGUCCGGGUUUUCUAUUUUGUGUGCUUUAGAUUUGGUAGGUUUUGUAUUUCUAGGAACUUAUCCUGUGCUUUCGUGUAAAACAAGAGAUGAAGAUAUGAGUGGAAACAACAAGUCUGGCCCGAGUGCCUGAGAAGCAGCAGGAGAACCUGAGCCUCCUAGAGUGAUCAAGGCCAAGCAGCUGUCUGUGUCCACUACAGGGGCCAGGGAGCCAUGCCCAGGAUGCUCUGUAACAUUAAGGCCGUGGAGGAGCAGGAGGCUCUGUUGGGCCAAGCUGGCUUCUCUGGGGGACCCUGUGAAGGGCUAUUGCCAUAGUGGGACCUUGGGGACCGGGGCAGGGACCCCUCAUCAGAAGCCCCUCUGGCUACGGCCUAUCUGUAGGGGAUGCCUCACUGCCCAUUUGCUUUCCAGGCCUAAGACUUUCAUCUUUGUAUUUCAGCAACAGAACUGCAUCUCAAUAGUGACAGGGAAAUAAAGGCCCGAGCAGCUCCUUUUCCACCCUGGUUUAGCUGUGCAACCUCCGCCCUCAGUGACCGACACCCAGGGCCUGCACGAGCUGCUUUGUCUGCUGUCUUUUCCCACAGGCCACCUCACUCCACAGCGUCACAAACUCCCUGUGUGUCUGGGCUCGGGUGUUCCAGCAGCUUCCUGGACUGAGCAUCUGUGCUGGGCCUUACGAGGCUCCAGCGUGCUGUCUUUGCCUCUGUCCCAGAAGCACCUCCCUUGCCUUGGCCACGUUCCUAUAAGCAGAAUGAUGGCCACCCCGUGGAAGGGCCCUGGUCCUGCAGAAUUCUCCAAGAGGGUUUGCCUUGAGCCCAGGCAUCCCAGGCAGCCCUGGGCAGGGUUCCCCCGGAUGCCAGCAUCUCCUCAGUAGCAGCUGCACCAACAGUGACAUGUGAACAGACUAAGAAGAUGUUCCAGCCAGAUGAUGGAAUUUGCUCAGCCCAACAUGGAGGAGCUUAGGAACACAUGUGGGGUGAAGGAAGCCACACGGAAGACACGACAGGACGUAGGAGUCUAUUUUUAUGAAAGGUCCAGAAUAGAAUGAAGAAAGGAAACCCACAGAGUGCGUGAGGAUGGUUUAAUAAAGCAAAAACCCCAGGAAGAGCGGGAUGGGAGCAGCCAGGCCUCGUGUGGGGGCUGGCAGCGGGGUGGAGGGGCCAGCAGCUUGGUGGACGGAUGGAGGGAUGGCACGGGCUCCAACUCUCCUGCCAGCACCUGCCCCGAGCUGACAGAUGGCCUGUCCCCCGCAGCCCCUCCAGCUUCAUUCCUGCCUGGAGCUGCCCCUCCAGCCCCAGCCCUGGUCCCCUGAGUUCAGCAGCCCUGCAGGGCCCACAGGGGCCACUGCACAGCUCUGGAUGACACUGCUGGCCCCUGUCCCCCAUGUGCACAGACAUCCCCUCCCCAGGCUGGGGUCUCCGCCUGGCACUGCCCAUCGUCUGUCUGGAGCGCUGGCCAGCAGGGUAUGCGGGGGCCUCCUGCUGGACACCGCCCCCCUGCUGGGCACGGGGAUGGAGGAGAAUUAGCUCCUCUCCCCAGGAGCCUCUCCAUGUGGCCUCCUCCCAGAUCACCGUGUGCCCUCUGGGUGGGUGGGUGGCUCCCGGCCCGCUCUGAACAUUGGGCAGCAGGCUUGCCUUCCCAGGAAGGCUGGGCACCCUUGGCAGGCUGCCCUCUGCCCCAUGGCAGCGUUGCUUUGGCAACUGCCAGGACUUACUGUCCCCGGCCUGCCAAGCACAGCUGCGGUGGGUGGCACUGUGGGGCAGGGCUUCUUCCCGGGCCGAGCGGCUCUCUGGGCCAGCUGGGGUGGGCGCAGCCCUCCCCCCUGCAGCUGCACCCCUCUGCACAGACACAGGAGGGGCCACAGCCAGAGGCAGUGUGGAUGGUGGGCUGGGGUCCCAGCCUUGGCCUCCUCUUGCUGCACAUGUGAAGUUGCCCCUUUCGGUGCCUCGGUGUCCCUGUGUUCCCAGGAGGCUCAGCACUGGGGCUCCCCGGCAUGCCGAGGUGCUAUUCAGAGCCGGACAGGAAGAGCUGGGCAUGUGUACGGGGACUGCCCACUGCAGGGGGUGGUCCUGCCAGGCAGGGGUGCCUAGCACAGGUUAGUGCUGAAUCCAGGGCAAAAAUGCUCACAUGGCUAAUUGGGAUUAAAACACUUAUGGGAAGAAUUUAGGAAGGUGCUGGCCCAGUCCCCUGGCGCCUGAGUUCCCCACUCUGCCCUCCUAUAGUUGGUUAAAUUGCCCCCCUGAUAAAAAGGAAAUGUCCAAGUCCUAGCCUCGUACCUGUGAAUAAAGCCGUAGGGAGUUUGGAAACAGAGUCUUUGCAGGUACAAUUAGGACGAGGUCACACUUGGCAGGGUGCAGCUCAGCGGCAGAGUGCUCAUCUGGCACAUGCAAGGCCCUGGCUUCAUCCCCAGUGCUGCACAAAAACAGAAAAGCUGAGGCUGUACUGGCCGAGGGCGGCCCUGACUCCGCUGAAUGGCGGCUAGCAGCUUCUGUGGUCCCAAGCAUACAGUCUGUGAUCCUUUUCCUGGAAGCCACAGGACACUCCCAGUUCCUCCUUGUAAGGCCCUUCUUGCUCCUUGUCCUGCCCCCUAGUCCCCGUCCCUGAGCCCCUGGGUCUCACUCUGUGGAAGGGGACCCUGCUGGGGGCCAGGAGGACCCAUGUAGGAUGUGGGAAGGAAAGACCAUGGCGUCCCCCGCUCCUGGCCCGCACUGCCAGGACAGGAUCCUGAGCAGGAGCAGCCUUGGGCUGCAGAGGGCAACAGCCUUUCUGCUCCUGCCUUUGUUCAAAAUUGUGGGAUUUUGCUCCUCUUGUAUUUUUUACAUGAAUUUUGACUCUUUAAAACACUGCAUUAAAAUAUUGGUCACCUAAUUCACAAA
rnacentral:lncRNA from 1 species